GUCUACAACCAUACCACCAGGAACGCGGCCAAUCUUGUCUGAUCUUGGAAGCUAAGCAGGGUCCGGCCUGAUCAGUACUGCCGGGGUAGCCC
ensembl:rRNA 5S_rRNA 5S ribosomal RNA